AAUCCUACCAGGGGGUCCGUGAUGGCAUCCCAGGCACGGCCGACAAACAGAAUGAUGGAAGCAGAGAAGGGGUCCACCUGGCACAAGAGACAAACAUCCAGCUCGUCUGUCUUCUUUGGAUGGCCCUGCCCUGAAGUGCCCACCAGUGACUGGAACAGGGGCCAUGGUACAGCUGUGGCUUGUGAGGAAAAGCCUUGGCCUGGUCUUCAGGAAAGAGGAUUGGAUUUCAAAUGUAAAGACCAGGGUUCCAAGCUCACCGAUUCCCUGUAUGAUCUUGGCAUUACGAGGAUCUAAGACAUCUCCAGAGGCCUCGGG